GACGUAGGGCGCGAGCGUUGUCCGGAUUUAUUGGGCGUAAAGAGCUCGUAGGCGGCUUGUUGCGUCGACUGUGAAAACCCGCGGCUUAACCGCGGGCCUGCAGUUGAUACGGGCAGGCUAGAGUACAGAAGGGGCAACUGGAAUUCUCGGUGUAGCGGUGAAAUGCGUAGAUAUCGAGAGGAACACCUGCGGCGAAGGCGGGUUGCUGGGCUGAUACUGACGCUGAGGCGCGAAAGCCAGGGGAGCGAACGGG
rnacentral:rRNA from 1 species